rnacentral:rRNA from 1 species
AUGUAUCAGCCUCCAAAUUCUCCGGACAUGAACGCCCUGGACCUUGGGUUCUUCAGCUCUAUUCAGUCGCUAACAGACUGCAAAAGUCCAAAAACUAUUCCAAAGCUGAUUAAAGGUGUUCAAGAGGAGUUCGAUGGAUAUGAAGUUUCAAAACUGAACAGAGUAUUAACUCUGCAGACUUGCAUGGUUGAAGUAAUGAAGAAUGGUGGAGCCAAUAAAUACAAAAUCCCGCACAUGAACAAGGAUAGGCUAGAAAGGCUACAACUGCUACCGCCCAGGAUCUCAGUUCCUCCUGAAGUGUAUGCAAUGGCACUAGAGAUGCUUGGACGCUGA